rnacentral:lncRNA from 1 species
GGGUCCUUCUCUCUCCUCGAUACAGGGUCGUCCAUUUUGUUUUCUUUGUGUUUUAUUAGAACUUUUUGACUAUUUGUUUUGUUAUCUUUGUGUAUAAGAUUUUUCUACUUGUAGUUGCAAAUAUGUCUGAAUACAUUUUAGAAUUAGUCACUGUGUCAUUGCUGGACAUGAGUUAUUUUAACUGGUACUAGCAAAUAUACCCGUGCAUUACGUCA